rnacentral:lncRNA from 1 species
CUGCUGGAAACACCUCCAAACCAGCAACAAAGCCCCUCAAGAUCUGGAUUUACAAUUCACCCAAAAAUCCAAUAAAAACCAUCAAUUUACCAAAAAUUUCAGCACUUAAGCUUAAUUAUCUCAAUUCCAAUGUCAAAACUCACCUAAUGAUCUCCAAAUCGGGUGAGGACAGAUCCAAAUCCAGCAACUACUGAUGGGUGAUCAAUCUCAGGUCCAAAAUCCCACUGUCUACAAAGUUAGCAUCAAGAAAAGCUCAAAAAUUCCAAUUUCAGCUCAAAAUCAACAACAGUCCAGAAAAACCUCAGUUCGACCAAGCUAACCUCAACCAAAAUCAGUAAUUUA